rnacentral:rRNA from 1 species
CCCUUAGAUGUUCUGGGCCGCACGCGCGCUACACUGAUGCAUUCAACGAGUCUAAAACCUGCUCUGAUAGGGGUGGGUAAUCUUUUGAAUGUGCAUCGUGAUUGGGAUAGAUGAUUGCAAUUUUUCAUCUUCAACGAGGAAUGCCUAGUAAACGCAAGUCAUCAGCUUGCAUUGAUUACGUCCCUGCCCUUUGUACACACCGCCCGUCGCUCCUACCGAUUGAAUGAUCCGAUGAAUAUCAUGGAUUGAGGAUGCAAGUAGGUUCGCCUAUCUUCAUCUUCGAGAAGUGAAGUAAAUCUUAUCAUAUAGAGGAAGGAGAAGUCGUAACA